GGGUUAUGGCGACAGCACUUGGCGGAUGUACUGUCCUCUUAUGAGGACUAAUUAUGUUAAUUACCCUGGUAUUUUUGUUGUUAUCAGAGGGGCGACCAGAGAGCCUAACUCUGGGCUGAUAAUAAUAAUAAUACUGAAGUGUAAAACGAUGGCUUAAAAUUACAGUAAUUAAGAUAAGUCCAACUACGUUGGAUAAAGUUCAAGAUAGAAUACUGAUUAUGACAAUUUUCUAUCUACUAGUCUUGACCAAAUUACGUGCCAGCAGUCGCGGUAAUACGUAGAAGACAAGUGUUAUUCAUCUUUAAUAGGUUUAAAGGGUACCUAGACGGUAUUACUAUCCUCAAAAGGGAAAUAGUUUUGCUAGAGUUUUAUGUGAGAAGGGGAGUAUUUACAGAGUAGAGAUGAAAUUCUUUGAUACUUUAAGGACUGGUAAAGGCGAAAGCAACCUUUUAUGUAAUAACUGACGUUGAGGGACGGAGGCUUGGAUAGCGAACAGGAUUAGAUACCCUAGUAGUCUUUGCAGAGAAUGAUGAAUGCCAUAGGUUAGAUAUUAAUUUGGUCUAUAAAUGAAAGUGUAAGCAUUCCACCUCAAGAGUAAUGUGGCAACGCAGGAACUGAAAUCAUUAGACCGUUUCUGAGAACAGUAGUGAAGUAUGUUAUUUAAUUCGGUGGCCCUCGAAAAACCUUACCACAACUUGAAUGAUGUCAUUGGUCUGAUUAAGGGAUAUCUCGAUAUUCCUUAAUGCAAUAUAUGUAUAAGUACAUAUAUUGCAUUUAAAUGUAGAACAUUUAUCGCAGUGAUGUUACAAGUGUUGCACGGUUGUCUUCAGCUAAUGUCGUGAGAUUUUGGUUAGCUCCAUAAAAUUAGCGUAAGCCCCGGCUUUAUUUUAAAAUUAUUAUGAUAAAGCAGUUCAUCACCAUAUUGAAUAGAUGAUAACAGGAUCAAGACAAAUUCAUCCAUGGCCACAAAA
rnacentral:rRNA from 1 species